rnacentral:ncRNA from 2 species
CUCUUAUCAAGAGAGGCGGAGGGACUGGCCCGAUGAAGCCCGGCAACCUGUUGGAACUUGCGUCCAAUGUGGUGCCAAUUCCAGCAGAGAGAGUUUCUCUCUCUGAAAGAUGAGAG